GGGUGAUUAGCUCAGCCGGGAGAGCAUCUGCCUUACAAGCNNCAAGCAGAGGGUCGGCGGUUCGAUCCCGUCAUCACCCACCA
rnacentral:tRNA from 1 species